CUGAGACACGGUCCAGACUCCUACGGGAGGCAGCAGUGGGGAAUAUUGCACAAUGGGCGCAAGCCUGAUGCAGCCAUGCCGCGUGUGUGAAGAAGGCCUUCGGGUUGUAAAGCACUUUCAGUCGUGAGGAAGGUAGUGUAGUUAAUAGCUGCAUUAUUUGACGUUAGCGACAGAAGAAGCACCGGCUAACUCCGUGCCAGCAGCCGCGGUAAUACGGAGGGUGCGAGCGUUAAUCGGAAUUACUGGGCGUAAAGCGCAUGCAGGUGGUUUGUUAAGUCAGAUGUGAAAGCCCGGGGCUCAACCUCGGAAUUGCAUUUGAAACUGGCAGACUAGAGUACUGUAGAGGGGGGUAGAAUUUCAGGUGUAGCGGUGAAAUGCGUAGAGAUCUGAAGGAAUACCGGUGGCGAAGGCGGCCCCCUGGACAGAUACUGACACUCAGAUGCGAAAGCGUGGGGAGCAAACAGGAUUAGAUACCCUGGUAGUCCACGCCGUAAACGAUGUCUACUUGGAGGUUGUGGCCUUGAGCCGUGGCUUUCGGAGCUAACGCGUUAAGUAGACCGCCUGGGGAGUACGGUCGCAAGAUUAAAACUCAAAUGAAUUGACGGGGGCCCGCACAAGCGGUGGAGCAUGUGGUUUAAUUCGAUGCAACGCGAAGAACCUUACCUACUCUUGACAUCCAGAGAACUUUCCAGAGAUGGAUUGGUGCCUUCGGGAACUCUGAGACAGGUGCUGCAUGGCUGUCGUCAGCUCGUGUUGUGAAAUGUUGGGUUAAGUCCCGCAACGAGCGCAACCCUUAUCCUUGUUUGCCAGCGAGUAAUGUCGGGAACUCCAGGGAGACUGCCGGUGAUAAACCGGAGGAAGGUGGGGACGACGUCAAGUCAUCAUGGCCCUUACGAGUAGGGCUACACACGUGCU
rnacentral:rRNA from 1 species